rnacentral:rRNA from 1 species
UAACAUAUGCUUGUUAUAAAGAUUAAGCCAUGCAUGUCCAAGUAUAAAAGUAUUCUAUACUUGAAACUGCGAACGGCUCAUUAAAUCAGUAAUAGUUUAUUUGAUGGUGCCUUACUACAUGGAUACCUGUAGUAAUUCUAGAGCUAAUACAUGCGUAAAGACCCGACUCGUGAGGGAAGGGUUGUAUUUAUUAGAUAAAAAACCAAUACGCAGCAAUGCGGUUUUGUGGUGAUUCAUAAUAACUGUGCGAAUCGCAUGGCGCAAGCCGGCGAUAGUU